UACAGAGGGUGCAAGCGUUGUUCGGAAUUAUUGGGCGUAAAGGGCGCGUAGGCGGUGCGGUAAGUCUCUAGUGAAAUCUCCGGGCUCAACUCGGAGCCUGCUAGGGAAACUGCCUCGCUAGAGUCCGGAAGAGGAGAGCGGAAUUCCUGGUGUAGCGGUGGAAUGCGCAGAUAUCAGGAAGAACACCCGUGGCGAAGGCGGCUCUCUGGGGACGGUACUGACGCUGAGACGCGAAAAGCGUGGGGAGCGAACAGG
rnacentral:rRNA from 1 species